AUUGAACGCUGGCGGCAGGCUUAACACAUGCAAGUCGAGCGGGGGAGGUUGCUUCGGUAACUGACCUAGCGGCGGACGGGUGAGUAAUGCUUAGGAAUCUGCCUAUUAGUGGGGGACAACAUUCCGAAAGGAAUGCUAAUACCGCAUACGCCCUACGGGGGAAAGCAGGGGAUCUUCGGACCUUGCGCUAAUAGAUGAGCCUAAGUCGGAUUAGCUAGUUGGUGGGGUAAAGGCCUACCAAGGCGACGAUCUGUAGCGGGUCUGAGAGGAUGAUCCGCCACACUGGGACUGGGACACGGCCCAGACUCCUACGGGAGGCAGCAGUGGGGAAUAUUGGACAAUGGGCGGAAGCCUGAUCCAGCCAUGCCGCGUGUGUGAAGAAGGCCUUUUGGUUGUAAAGCACUUUAAGCGAGGAGGAGGCUCUUAAGGUUAAUACCCUUGAUGAGUGGACGUUACUCGCAGAAUAAGCACCGGCUAACUCUGUGCCAGUCGCCGCCGUAAUAC
rnacentral:rRNA from 1 species